rnacentral:rRNA from 1 species
AUUGAACGCUGGCGGCAUGCUUUACACAUGCGAGUCGAACGGCAGCGCGGGCUUCGGCCUGGCGGCGAGUGGCGAACGGGUGAGUAAUGCAUCGGAACGUGCCCAGCAGUGGGGGAUAGCCCGGCGAAAGCCGGAUUAAUACCACAUACGACCUGAUGGUGAAAGCGGGGGACCGAAAGGCCUCGCGCUAUUUGAGCGGCCGAUGUCGGGUUUGCUAGGUGGUGGGGUAAAGGGUUAACAAGGCGACGAUCCGUAGCUGGUCUGCGGGGACGACCAGCCAACCUGGAGCUGGAACACGGGCCAGACUCCUGAGGGGGGGCACAGUGGGGAAAUUUGGGCAAAGGGGGGAAACCUGGCGCCACCACGGCGCGUGGGGGAAAAAGGGCCUCGGGGCGUAAAACCGUUUUUUUUGGGGAAAAAAUCUUUUGGGUUAAACCCCCGGGGGGUGACGGUAACGGGUAAAAAAGCCCCGGCUAACUACGUG